CCUCUUGAGUUUGGUCUCGUGGGUUUCGAAGAGUUUAAAAGCCUUCGGAUUUUCGAGAUUGGGCUCUUCUGGUGUACUUUCUCGUACGGUUAGUCAACAUCGGUUUUGAAUGUCAUAAAAUGACUGGAGGAAUGUGGCUUCGAUCUCGUAUUGAAGUGUUAUAGCCUUUGGUAGAUGUGAUGUUUGAGAUCCGAAGAUUGCAACGGAUACCCUUCUGGGCUAUUCGUCUGAUCUCUGAAACGUUGCCU
rnacentral:rRNA from 1 species